GCUCCUGCUUCUUAAAACCAAAACCACACAAACUGGCCUCCAUUUUUGUAACUCGAGAGCUUCGGUGAGAUGAAGGAGAGGAGCAGGGAGAUGGGCUUGAGUCCGCCAACGGCGGAAGAGAUCUUCAGGUAUUAUAGUGCUCCGAGAACCAAUGUCGUCCACUCCUUAACUAGCGUUAUGCAGCUCAGACCAUCACGAUUCACCAUUGUCACCCCAUCACUGCCGUCGCGACCACCGAGGCCACAUCACCGCCGUCGAAAACACUACCAUACCAUCAUCCUGCAAAAGCUUAGAGAGAGAAAAUAUAACCAUACCUGUGUGGUUGCUCUUCAAAUUGGUGCAUUAUCAAUGAAUGGAUCACGUCAGAUCGUGUCAAAGGCUGGGCAUCCAGCUGCUUUGCCCCUCUCCAUCUGAUGUUGCCCCCUUGGCAGUUCUAUCACUACUGUGAAAGGGCUGGAGCUUUUUGGCGUCAAACUUAGUGAUGCUUCAAAGAAAUUGGGGAAAACAUUUGCUAGGUAUGAUGGAUAUUAUAUUGUUUUGUCAGUAUGCGAUGAUAGGAAAUUUCCUCAACCAAUCUCAAUCCUUUGCAGUCCUUUGGUAUCAAGGUGUUUUUUUUUUUAAUCUUGCGCGCUAUGUGCAAUUACAUAUGUGUGAGAGACUUUUUAAAUUAGAUGCACUACGUGCUUCUUACGGAUUUUAUAAUGUCAUAUUCUCAUUCGGUUGCUGUUUUAAAUUUGGGCUUUCAUUUGGUUGAGCAUCCUUCUCUCCAAAAGGUAACAUUGUUUCUAAUGCCUAAUCAAAUUUUGAUUUCUUAGGUCAUUACAAUUUAUGUAGUUUUGUGAAGAGAAAUUGUUUACAAGCGCAAACAACUGCCAAAUUUUAUUUUGAAGUCUUAAUAUGCCUAUAGAACCAUAUAAUUAUGGGAGCGAACCAGUUCGCUGAUCAAAGACGUUAAGGCUGCUCUCAUUGAUGCAAUUGGGACAUUGAGGCUAUUCAGAAGGAAUUGAGGAGGAGAGGGAAGGUUUUGGCAUCGAAAAAGUCAUCUCAGAUGGCUGCUGAGGGCUUUCUGGCUCAGGCUCAGAAUGAGAACAAGACUGCUAUUAUUGAACAUAACUGUAAGACUGACUUUGUUGCUCGAUAUAUUUCAAUACUUGGUAAGUGUGACUGAUAUCAUUCCUCCUUAUUUUUUUUUUGUUCUAUUUGAUUAGUUGCUAUUAUAAGUAUAUGGUUGCGUACUUAAUUUCAGUCGUCCUUUUUUCCCCUUAUUUCUUCUUCCUCUGCUUCGCUUUUGCUGCUGCUUCUUCUUCUUCUUCUUCCCCCUUUUGGUUCCCCCUCUCUUGCUUUAUUUCUUCUGAUAUUUUCUCUCUUUCUUGAUCUCUUCAAAAUCGCACAACAUUCUUUGUAGUUGGAGGCUUUUGCUCUGUUGGGUUUGUUUCCAAUAACUCAAAGGGCCGAAAGGUAUUCCCUUUUCAUAUUCUUCUCUCCCAAUUUCUUUAGGGUUAAUUUCAAUUUUCUUAUGCUAUUUGCAGUGGUGCUUUUUAGGGUUUAACUAUUUGAUUUCACAGAUUCAUUACAGACACAGUAAAUAGGUACAUUUUAAAUUCAUAUUUCAUAACUUGGUUGCUUGAUUCUACUGCCACUGUUCAUUGGCUUCUCCUACGAGACAACAAGGGUAUGCAGAGAUCAUAAUAGAUGGGGUUUUUAUUUUUUUUUAAUAUCUUUUACAUAAUGCUCUUAAAUUUCAACAUCUUAUUUAUAACAAUGUUGCCAAAAUGCACUUUAAUUAUCAGGUAUGUCACUAUGGAAGAACUAGAGCAAGUCCUCCACGAAUACGGCUUACAUGGUGAAUUUUAAUCUUUCCAGGUACAACCAUAUCUCACUCCCUCUGUCCAGUCGUGCAGAAGACAUCUUCAUUAACCGGUAACAGAUGAAAUAAUUUGUUGUCGAGUUUCCCGUGUAGAAAGGCGAAAAUGCUACAAGUGGAGGAUAGAUAACAACUCAAGACACAUGGUAUGAGGGUGCAGGUAAAUUGUACAUAUGCAUCUGCAAAAAGUUAACAGUUUUGUAUUCGAUUUUUUAUGUUUUUCCAGUGUAAGGCAUAUGUUGCAUAAGCAUGUAAAUGGUACAAAUUAUUUGGUUUUGGAUAGUAAACUUUGAGUUUUACAGGAAAAAUCAAGAAAAUGUGUCACUCCUCUAUUCCUUUGUUCCCUCAAGAUUAUGUUUAAUUUAUUCAAGUUAAAUGUGUCUUAUUUAUGUAGUUAA